CCUACGGGAGGCAGUAGUGAGGAAUAUUGGUCAAUGGGCGUAAGCCUGAACCAGCCAAGUCGCGUGAGGGAUGAAGGUUCUAUGGAUCGUAAACCUCUUUUAUAAGGGAAUAAAGUGUGGGACGUGUCCUGUUUUGUAUGUACCUUAUGAAUAAGGCUCGGCUAACUCCGUGCCCGCAGCCGCGGUAAUACGGAGGAUCCGAGCGUUAUCCGGAUUUAUUGGGGUUAAAGGGUGCGGAGGCGGCAUUGUAAGUCAGGGGGGAAAGUCUGUGGCUCAACCACAGAAUUGCCGUUGAAACUGGGAGGCUUGAGUAUGUUUGAGGUAGGCGGAAUGCGUGGUGUAGCGGUGAAAUGCUUAGAUAUCACGCAGAACCCCGAUUGCGAAGGCAGCCUGCCAGGCCAUGACUGACGCUGAGGCACGAAAGCGUGGGGAUCAAACAGGAUUAGAUACCCUUGUAGUC
rnacentral:rRNA from 1 species